AAAAAAAAAACAAAAAACAAAAAACAGAGAGAGAAAGAGGGAGAAAGAUGGGUAACUUUGUCCCAGAUGGCAGAAGCAAGAGUCAGAGCACAACCCUGACUAUGGGGCACCUCAGGUUCCAGGAGAGCUGGAAGAGGAGAGAAGUAUCAUAGAGGCAAGGUCUAGGUAAGGGAGAGGUGUAGAUUAUGCAUAGAACUCGAGGCUGGAGGCAAGGGCUUGGUUUUGGAAAAUCACGGAGAACAGCAGAGACCUGAAUGGAGGCACAGCUGGGCAGUGUUUGGGUGAGUGAAGAAGCUUAAGGUAAACAGGUAGAAGGGAAGUGGCUGAACAUGUUGUCAGCAGAAGCACAGGGUGAGUUUUUUGCGUGGCAUGAAGAUCAACUGUCUUUUCAAAUAAUAGAAAAAAUAGGACUGCAGUGAUUGAAGUGAGGUAAAAGGUGGUUCAGGGAUGUAAUCCUCAAGGGAAAAAAAGAAAUUAUAAAAGGGUUGAAAGCCACAUUUCUGCACUUCUGUGAAGGCAAUAUUGCAUAUAUUUGUGUGACCAUUUUAGGGAACAGUGAGGGAUGAAGAUCUGACCCUUUAACUUCUCUGAUCUUGCAGUGAAUUCUGGCUGCACAGCAAAAGAAGAUUUAAAGCAGGGAAAAAAAACCAAACCCACAGCACUUUUUGGGCUUGAUGAGCCAUAACUCUCCUUAAGCACAAGAAGCUGGGGAGCAUGAAAGGGUGUUCUAAUCCUGUCCUACACUUACCGUAACUGAAACUCAGAGGCAGCAGAUCACCUUUGCCCCAAACACCUAUUUUCUGCUACCUCCUGGAGAGCAAUAACCUCUGGUGCAUCACCUUGGGUUGUAGUCUGAUAAGUCAGCAGGAGGAGGCAAGGACAAGAGCUGGGGGAGGUCAUGUACUGUCAAUGCCAGUGCAUUGUGCACCAUCUCCUGACUCUGGGUUGGGCCAGUCAGGAGGUGAGCUUUGCAUCUGUUCAUGCUUCUGGCAGCACUCAUAGGCUGGCUGUGUCCAGUACAGAAAUCAUGCGAGGUGUGCGCACCAUGGGCUGUGGGGGAACAAAUGCUGACACAAGUCAGCCCUGCCUUGAAAGAGGAGGGAGGAGGGGCACAAAGGGUUGACAUCUGUCAGAAGGUUAUCAAGCUGGCAAUAGUCCUUUAAGGCAGGAGGCUGGCAAAGCUCACAGCAAUGCUGGCUCAUUGUGAGCCCACCCUCAGGACAAGCUCAGAAGACAGAGGGGCCACUGAGAGAACAAGUCUCAGGAAGGGUCACUGAAAACCACACCACCCAGCUGCAGCACCACAUCUCAUCUCAGAACAAGGCUUUCCAGAGCUGGAGCUGGCCCAAGAGGUGCCUUUGAAGACUGAAGACUUCAUUGCAAUGGGAUUCUUUUUGUGGUGAAAGAUUUCAUGUUGUGGGCUCUAAGGAGAUGAAAAGCCCUUUGCUGAGAGUUGCACUCAGUCUCCAGAUGGGACCAUUAGAGAGAGCACCAUUGCUGGGAAGCUUCCAAACCCAGAGAGUGCUGUGCAUCCAUCCAUGCAUGCUGUGGGAAGCAGUUGUACAUUGUCAGGGCAUUAAAGGUCAUUAAAUUACAUUCCCUAAUGAGCUCUGAGCUGCUGGUGAGAUCCAGCAGCCCAAGCUACCUUCAUUUCCUGGGAGCUCACUCGGUCUAGCAUGGCCCAUUUGGUCUCCUGAUCUUCAUGCAUAGGGGUAAGAGCAGGCCCAGUGCCUCACAGGAAUAAAUAUGGCUCAACAUACACUGAGUUGAGUUGAGUUGAGUUAUAUAUGGAGGAGAUGCCAGAGCCAGUGUGCUGCUGAACAGCCAUGGUGUUUCUUCCAGCUGAAAUCUGUGAGGGAAGCUGCGGGCAGCCUAAAACCUUCACAGCUGGCAUGUGUAACCAUGCCCUUCUGGCUCUGCUUGGGGGAAGGGGACGUGGAAAAUUUUCUCAUCAGCAUGGGUCUGAGUAGAGAAAUUGCUCCUGCUGACAGCCUCCAGUGAAAAUCUGGCUUCUUUGUAGUGUUGUACUGUUGCUUAAUAAAAGGCACAAUAUGUUGCAGUGAAUGUGUAUUUCCUGUGAUGCUAUUUUGGUGUCAAAAUUACUCUAUCAACAGCCUGUUUAAAAUGGAGUUAUGAUUGAGCACUGAUCUUAUUAGCUAAUUGUGUUUGCUAGUCUCUGGUUCUGUAUUUCACAACCACAUUACAAUGGUUAGUUGAUGGGCUCUGCAGCCAGGAUACUUUUAAUUCCCCCUGGAUUUCAUUAUUGUGACUGCAAAGGAAGGAACAGAAUAGCAGAUGAAGCUACUGCUGUUUAGGCUUAUAAUGCUGCCUAUGCCUUGUACUGAGCUAUGCCCUUAGGCUGAACGAGUUGGUAGAAUUCAUCUGGAAGAGUGAAAACAAAGAUUUUGUAUUUGUCUGGGUUUUGUGAUACAAUAAAAAUUUAACCCUUUGACUCAGGAGCAGCUGCUCUUUCUUUUCCAAAGAGUAGACUACUUCAGUAUGAAGUGCUAAUCAUUUUAAUACCUUUUACCUGCACGAGUACAUCACAGGUAUAUCUGGACAUAUGUGACAUACUCAGAACCCCAUGCCUGAUGUGUCACUGCUGUCACACCAAGGUGCUCUGUGUCCUGGCCUGCAGCACUGCAUCACUUCUUACCGUGAUGACCUUCUUAACGUUUUUAAUACCAGAACAGGCAGCAAGGACAGUUUAUCCCCCUUGCAAAAAACUAAGACACUCAAGGCAUGGCCUCUCCAAAAGCUUCUUCUGCUGCAAAUCCAAUGAUGCUCAGAUGGCAAGGGCUCAUUUGUCUUCAUAUGACUUUUCAAAACACCCCCAUGUAAAUGCUUAAUUCUAACCAAAGCAACAAUUUUUAAUUUUUUUUCCUUUUUUUUUUUUUAAUUUCCAGUAGCGGUUCAUUACAGCAGUUGUAAUUGAUAAAGGCAAGCACAAAUACCCUGCAAAGAAACACUCCACUGCCCUCCCUCCAGUAAGCAUGGCACAGAUAGUGCUCUUGGAUCCCCUCUGAGCUUUCCAGCAGCCCACUUCUGAGAAGGGUCUCUGAGUUCUGGCACCUCAUUUACUACUAAUUGCCCCUUUCAUAUUUGUUUUUUCCGUUGCGUUUUCCCUACUCACUCCAUUUCUAGCCUGAUCCCUCCAGAAAGGUUAGCUGGAAAACAUCUGCAGGGCCACAGUGGGGGUAGAUGGAGCUACAAGGUGCAAAUACAAGGCUGCUCCACAGCAGCCUGGACAACAAGCAAGGUUUUGCCAUUGCUGGGACUUACCCCAAUUGAUGUCAUGUCUCUGGCUUGGCGGGUCAUCAGUCCAUUCUGUCCUUCCCCCCACUUCCUUCACUGUGUCAAGGCUGCAGCCCUUCUGGAGCCCAGCCCCAGCUUGUGGACACAUAUACAAAUGUUUAGGCUAUUUCAAACAAGAGUUUGUUUUCCUCCAUGGCUCAAAACCUUAAUGUGUGCUUUUUACUUCCCUUGUUAUGUGCUAUUCUUAAAGUAAGUUCAGAUGGUGAUUAUGGAAAGGUGGGGGGCCCUGGCCCAUGAACACAAUGAAGUGAACAGAAAUUCAGGCUUGUGUAUAGUUCUCCUACACUCUCCAUUCAAGCUUUGAUUCUAUAUUAUUUCUUUAAGAAGCUUAAUAGCUUUUCAAGCUGUUAAUCUUCUGGGAAAUUCAGACCUGCAAGUGCUUAUGCUGGCUUUUUUGGGGAGCAAAUUACAUUUUUAUAAAGCUGUCAAGCUUCAUCAUAAACAGCAUGAACCUCACAUGCUUUUCUGGCAGGCUGGUCUCCUGCUGCAAUGAAAUACAGACUGUUCUGAGGUUUUCUUGUCCUUGUGUUGUCCCACAAUGCACAGAUACAACACCACAGCUUUCAAAAGCAAGCCAAGAUCCUCCUUGCCUGGAGGCAGUAGGGCUUCUUUGCCCAUAAGAAGGAAGAACUCUUCUGCAGACUUCCUACCCAAUCUUUCAGAACAGGCAGCAAACUCAUGCUUUGAAAUCCCUUUACUUCAUUCAGCAAUGUUCAACAUUAGGUACUAAAGUUAGGUUUGUUGUUAUUACUAGGGGCAGUGCAAUUUUAAGAGGUUUGAAAGACACUUUCCAUGCCUUCCAACAAGUGGAUUUUUCUUCCGGCAAAAAGCAGGCACAGUGAAGUACCAAGACCCACUAAAACUGGAGGGGAUUUUCUAGUGGAGGAUUAAGGUUUCAAAUAUUGUAGCUAUCAGAAGAGCAAUGAGUCUGAGGUGUUCAUGUCUGUAUCAUUUCUCUUGCAUAGGACACAAAUUCCACCCAAAUUCACGCAAAUUCCACACGCAAAUUCAUUGCCUCUUGCAGCUGCAGAGGCAUUUUUAGAUCCCAGUUUCACACACAGCCUUACCUGCCCCUAUUUCAUUCAUCCAUCCUCCUUCAGUAUCUGAGUACUGACUUAUCUUUAAUGGACUUGGCUUUCAUUGCAUCCCCAUCUUUAAAGAAAGGGAGGCACAGAGACAGACAGUGAGAUGUUCCAGGCGACAGAGGAGGAGGUUUUUGGAGGAUAAGCGGUGUGUUGGCCCCAAGCAGGUGUCCAAAUCUUUGAACCAAACCUUUCCUAUCUAAGCAAAGAUGGGGGGACAUGGAAGGUCCUGCAAUCAGAAGUGGACAGACCACUGUGCUCCAUUUGGCAUUGCCAAUGCCUAGCAAAUAUUUUUUGUCCAAGGUUUGUAUUCAGGACUUAAUAUGUAAAACUAGAAUACAAGUAAGAGCUAUCAGAAAAGCAAUUAAAACCAGGAGACAUCUUAUCACUAUUUCUGGGACUGUGGCAGACUUUUUUUUUUUCCUAGGGCACAGGAUUCUGUAAUUUCUUCUUCAGAGGAAUACAGUGUGAAAUACCUGCUCACCCAUUGGUCUCCCACUUGAUUACUGUCAGCUGAGGUAGUGAGAUACAACAAUUCAGUAGCUUCUCUCAUAGGCUUUAUUUGUAGCUCUGACUGCUCUGGUAAGGGUCUCAGAAAAUCUGCUCUGGUGCUGGAUUUUCUUCCACUUUAUUUUAGUGUAUUUAAGGUAAACAAGAAUAAGCACUAGAUGAAGAUGAUGGCAGUAGUUGUCAGCAAACCAGCCUUUUUAGGUUUUCUGUGUGUGGGAGUGCAAGCGCCAUCUAUUUCACACAUUCAUAAUUUAAUAGUAAUUAGAAAUUCUAAAUAAUCACUCCCUGUGCACUAGCUAAUCUUCAUGAAACAUCUGAAUACCAGUGACUAAAACUGGAUCAGUGGCCCACAGUGGAGGGAAGGAGCCAUGCCAGACUCCAGCAGCACAGGAUCUGAGCUCCCUGGCUUGGAGAAGGAGCCCAUUUGCUGCACACUAAAUGCUGCAUACAGAGGGUCCCAUCCUCUAAACGUGGCAGGAGAGCUCCUUCAGCCGCCAAGGACAUGUGCUGUGUUGCUAGCAAGGAGACUAGUCCUUCAUCUCCAGUGCGGCCAGAGGGCUUUUCAGGGAGUGGGGAUCUGACAAGGCGUCUGCCUGUGCUGUUCUGCAAUUGCCAAUGCCAGGGGCUGAUUCCCCAGGGUAGGUGGUCAGAGGUACAUGACCACCGCAUGAAGAAUGUUUUGCCAGUGUGAACUGCUGUGUGGUGGAACGAAAAAUUCUGCUUCUGCAGCUCCAGUCCUCUGUCUCCAGGUCCCUGCUAACAGCAGGAGAGCAGGGUUUUCUUCCACAAUCCACCAGAGUAACCUGAAAUUUUCCUUCCAAGUCCCAUGUCUCAUUCUGUUCUCCCUACAAAUGCUUCUCUCACCAGCCUUCUGCAGCCCACCCUUACAUGCUUGUUUUGGUUUUUUUUCCUCCUGGAAGUCAUGAAACUCUCGUUUCAGAGCAUUGAUCUCUGCAGACAGUGCUUCAGUCCCUCACUGCUAGAGAGGGUAAAUAAAGCUAAAGAGCUCCUGUUCUGCAGCUCUAACACAGGCAAAAUACAUUGGAAACCAGACAGAGUUUAUACAACCUGUAUGUUUCAUGUCUCCCGCCCCUAACACCUCCACUGAUGAAGGAUAUCUCUGGAGCCUCUUUUGCUCCGUGCAGCUAAACCUAUCUAGCCAUGCAGCUUCACUGUUAAUAAACCGUGAAAUAGACACUCUGAGCUAAGGGCACGCACCUUCAGUGAAACUGCAGAACACUGACAUGCAGCAGAACACUCUGGGUCCACAGCAUGGACCCUGCCUGUGUGCAGAGGUCCUGCCUGAUGGGCUGUCUGGUCCUUUUCCUCCUGAUGGACUGAUGAUGACUGAUUAGCCACAACAGCACCAGUCUCCGUUUCAGAUGCAGCAGUAGUUUCCAGAUGAAGUAAACUAUCUCAGGCAAAUACAGUGCUGAAGUGGUUUGCAGUAAAGAACAAUAGAAGACACGGUUUCUCUUGGCUUACUAGCGCAUUAGUGUAUUAGUGUAAAAAAACUUGUCAGCAAGAAGCAGAAAUAUGCUGCGCUAUGGGACAGAGAGGAGAAAGGAAGAAAUCUUUGUGACUGUAUGUCCCUCUGUUAUCGCGUCUACUCACAUCCAAGCUGUUGGAACAGCUGUGCGAAGUGGGGAGUGUGUACAGGUCCUUGAGGAACAAGGUAAUGCUGCCACAAGAGGUGCUGUGCUGGGAUAUGCAGCUUGCAUGGCUCAUAAUGCAUAGCAAGAUCUCCUUCAUGCCUCCCUACUGUUCAUCGCCCCACAGCUGUCCUGGUAAGGCAAAGCAUCUUAUAAGCCAGUAUGCUCCAGAUAGCCUUAUGAGCCCUGAGAGUCCUGCUUCCUGGGUAUGAGCAAGGACUCUUCUGCAUGUGUGACCACAACCUCCCCUUUCACAGUGAAGAACUUUCCAACUGCUUCUGUAUGUGACUGACCGUCAGCACAUCCUGUGGCCUACCAGAGAGGCUGAGGAAUGUGGUGAUGGGUGUAACCGUUAGCCUUAAGGGGCAGUUUCCAAGACUCUGGAGAGAAGCUGAGGAGCAGAUGUGAGAGGACCAGUGAGAGAGGAUCAGUGAGAAGAAAGACAACAAAAAUAUCCUGCCUUUCCUCUACCAAACCCCAUUAACACACUCACCUCAGAAAACAUUACCAUCAGAAUGCUUUUCUUGGCACCAGGACAGUAUGUCCAAUGUUACUGCGACUACUCAGCUAAAGAGCAGGCACAGAACAAAGUAAAACUUCAGCAAAAAUUUGACUUCCUUCUCAGGAACAUGAGAUUGUAUUGUAUUGAAUAAGAGCAUGGCUUACACACACCACAUGGAAAAUACAGAAAUUUCUUUCUUACUUAAAAGAAAAACUUUAUUUUGAUACAUUAAAAAAUCUAUACAUUUCUUAGACUAAAAUACAGUUUUGCAUCAGUAUCCUGGCACAAUGUCAGUUUACACAGAAAAUCUAAGAUUAGAUCAGCACUGUUAAUUUCUUUUCUCUUCCUGCAUUCACAGCUUCCAGUAUAAAAUAGUUUAAGUUCUCAAGACAACAAUGAACAGUGUCACAUUUACUUUUCCCAUUCUCAAAGGAGGUGGCAUUCCACUGGAAAAAGGAGCACUUGUUAGUUGAUCUCGAUUCAAUGUAAAUCACUAAGCCAGUCCAGGGGUUUGAUUGCCCUGUUAGAAGUAUGAGUAAAGGAGGAUGAAAAAUUCAUUUCCAGAUGAAGCUUUGAUGGACUAUGACAAUGCAAGUACUGUCAAGCCUUUAAAAUCUGUUCAGAAGAUUUUCCUUUUUCCUUAGAGUAGUUUCUGUAAUCAGCAACACAAUUCAUUAUAUAGAAAUGACAAUUUUCUAUAGGUAUAGUAUUCCACCUUAAUUUUGCUCUGAAGAGCUCCAGAGUAAAAUAAAGUGGGACAUGGGAGAUGUUGCUGUAAGAUGUCUGAAUUGGAAUGUGAAUUUUCUUAACUACUGUGAAGAUCCUGUGGAAUAUUUUUUAUCUGCUCUCCAUGCUCCACCAAACUUCUGGCAGCUGCUUUCUGUCCUACAUUAGAAAUAAAACCAUCUUUCUGUUUCCUCUUCCCUCACUCCCCUAGGAGACAUCAUGAGAUUGUCUGUGGCACUGUUUUUCAAAUGAGAAAUAUUCUCCUGUUUCCAUCUGAGCAGCAGGGAGGGACCCAACUAAUACUAAUACGGAGGACACAUGGUAUUUGAGAGUUAAAAAACAUGUUUAGAGUGGGAACUCCAGUCAGUGCACAACUUCUGCUGGGUUUCAUAACUAGUCAGUUUCCUAAUUUCACCAAACCUUUUUGAAAUAAGCUGCCCGUAUUCCCACUAACCCAGAGAGGAGAGGUGGUACACUUGAGGAAUGGUAUCCACCUAUGCUGCCAGCAUAAAACAAGAAUGCUGUUUGGCAUCUACUUAUAAAUCACAUACUUGAGGCCAUAGGUGUCUUUAACAUUACUGAAAUUAGGCUAGUUCUGUUAAAGUCAGCUGGUACUUUUACUCUGAAUUCUUGGAACUUUGAUUCUAAGAGGAGUUUCUCUAGAGAAGUACCAAAUGCUUAUAACACCUAAGUCUGCUCAUCAUAUUCAAAUAUGAUGACUUGACCUCAGUGAGACAGGCAAGUAGAAUCUGAUGGGCAUUUUCUGGUUUUCUGCUAGUUCCAUUUUAACAGAUGUCUGUCAAAUGAAUGCCAGAUAGUUUAGCCCCCAAAAUAGGUAUUUUCAGAUCAAUUCAUGUUACCAAUUCUCCUUAGAAAUAUUUUCAUAAUCCUGGUGUCUGAGGAGCUUUGGCUUUAUUGUAUCAGAUUGCAAGACUCAUCACAGCUCCAUCCCAGACCAGAAAUUUUGCCUUUUAUACAUGACCCACAUCACAGGAGAUGCGUUUCAACUUUUCUCUUAAUGCUUUAAAUAUAAAAGAAAAAAAUACCUUGAAAACAGUAUUUGCUACAGAACACAAGAAAUAUAGAUUUACUAGUCUCCACAAUCUUGUUACAUGGUGGAAAUAACAGCAGAGAUUAAAUAGUUGGAAGAGCAUUUUAAAAUGAAAUAUUUAGAGUAAACUUUCAUCAUCCCAACAAAGAAGCUGAGGGCAAAAAAUGUUUCAAAUAAGCCUGUUGGAUUUGGUGUUGGGAAACACAAGGGUUGUUUUGUUGUCUUUUUGGUUUUUUCACAAAGAUAAAAUAGAAUUUCUGUGUUGAUAAUGUGACACAAGCUGUUCAAGAAACAAUGGGCUAGUGGUAUUUAGACUUAGUAAAUGGUAUCUGCACAGGCCAAGCCAUGAUUUAAAAACCAGGAAUGCUGUAAGGUAUCUACUUAUAAAUCUUAAGACUGUUUCUUAAAACGACUGUGCCAUAUUCAAUAUAGCAUGUAAUAUGCACUCUGAACUAAAUGCUCACUAGAUGGUGAUGAGUAUAUGUCUCCUACAUGCAUUUUAUUCUGACUCUAUAACAUACAUUCACAGAAUACAUCAUAACCACUCAGAGCAAACCACUAAAGUGCAUGCCCUGAGGGCACAUUAAGUAUAUUGUUUCCAACACUGGCUGCUCAAUUGCCAGAACACUGAUACAGAAAGGGCUCAUUUUUGCUUUAUAUCCCCAUUAUGUGCUGAAAGAGUAAGAGCUAACAUCCCCUGCUCCCUCCAUGAAAGGGAGCACUGUGGAGCAGGCUAAUUGCCUGCUGCAAAAAAAGCCCUUUCAGAAAGAAGUAACCACCCUGAGAAGAUGCUGUACAGAAAUGCAGGGAGCAAGUCUUGGAUUAGUUAUUGGGUAGGUGGGCCUGUGUACUGGGUUAGGCUGGACGAAGUUAAUUUUCUUUUCAGCAACCUGCAAUAUCCUGUGUUUUAGAUCUGCAACCAAAACAGUGUUGCUAACAUAAAACUUUACCUGCUACUAAGCAGUGUUUGCACAGGACCAAGGCCUCCUCUAUUUUCCACUCUACAACUCCUGCAGUCGUUUGGGGUUGGGCAAAAGGAUGAGAGGGCACACAGUCAGGACAGCUGACCUGAACAAACUGAAGAAAUAUUCCACACUAUAUAAUGUAACACUCAGCAAUCAAAUUGGGGAGGGUUCCCAAGCAGCUGCUUCUUGGAGAUUGGCCGGACAUUGGUCUGCUGGUAAAUGAUUGCCUUUGCUUCCCCCCACCCCCCAUUUGCUUAGUGAACUGCACUUAUAUCAAUGUUUUUGUCCUUUCACCGCUCUCUCCCAUCCUGAGCAAGCAACAGAGUAGCAGUGUAUGUGACAGCCAUGGUCAACCCACCGCAACGUUUAACUUCAUUUUCCACUGUUAGGUCUCCCUUAUAGAAAACACUUUACAAAUGCAAAAAGUCCUUCAUUUACUAUGUCAAUGUAAGGCCACAUUUAGAAGCCCAUCCUGGUUGUGGCACUGGGAGCUCAUGGAAAGUUGAAGAUGCAAAUCUAAGCUGGUUAUUCUAUGUGCUAAGUCUAGCUGUGGAGCAGCAGUGAAACUCUAGAAGUGACUAGUUGCACUUCUAACCACAGUGAUGGAGUAAUACCAGACAAAAAAAGAAAAAAAUUCUACCUCAGAACUUCAGCUUAGCACAUACUCUCCCUGUCAUUCAGUACAGGUAAUAUCCUGAAUCAUUGCCUCGGGAAGGUAAAAGGGUAUGUGGUAAGAUCAAGGGACAGAGGGGAGCUGACACUCUGCCACUUGCCACUGUCUUACUCAGAGAGCAAUAUGGAAAUGAGACCCAAAAGAACAACAACAACAACAACAACAACAAAAAACAUUCUCCAGGGCCAGCAGAAGCAGUAAAGAUGACAUGGUGCUGUUCAACUUCAAAAAAGAAAACGUAAUGUGGGAAAAAAUUUAAAAUUUAAGGAUUGGUAUGCUUUUUCUGUUUGAAACUCAGCUGGUUAGAGGCUAUGACGCAGAAACCAAAUGCUGGGAAGCAGUAAUCCCAAUGAUUGUUUCUAAAUCCAAAUUGUCCAGCCUAAAUCUCCAGUCUUUUAGCACUACUCAAUUCAAUGGACCUUCUGAGGAGAUGAUUUCUCUAUUUUAGCUGUCUCAUCUGCUCCUCCUGCAUUGUUAUUCUCAGUGCAGCAUCACUCUCUACUUAGUCUAGACUGCUUCCCACAAAGCAGACCAUACACUGGCUUUAAUAACCAACAGUCAAAAGAAGUAUUUAAUCCCUCACAGCUGGCAGACCCUAGCACUCCUACUGCCAAAAUUUAUGUAUGGAAUUUACAUGCCAAAACGUCCUCCCACUCCACUAUCCCCACUAGGAAAGGAAAGCAGUCUAAAUUUGUCCUGAAAAGUUGUCUUUUCAGAAUUCUGUCUUCUGCUUAUCUCUGUGCCCAAGACAGAGCUGGAAGAGGGCAGCUUGUAGUUUGGUUGCAAAUGAACUUCAACAGACAUUCAAAAGCUUUAAAGGGCCACUGGAAAGCCUAUGUGUGUAUGGAAUGCCUUUUUGGCAAGACUGAAAAGCUCUGCAUGCUGGAUAUACACUCAAGAAUGGUGUGCACGUUUUUAUUAAGAACUUUGUAAUGAUAUAGGCUUCUCACUUAAACAUUACAACAACCCAUAGAAAAGUGCUGCCUGUAUCUUUUAAACACCAUGUAAAUAAACAAAUUUAUUUUUAAGACAGGAUAAACUGCUAUAAAAAUGGUGCACAGUCUAGUCAUACAAAAAUACAAAAUUUGUUACCAAUUGCAGUCCUAGUUGCAAUUACAGAGGAUAGUUCCCACUCAGGAUAUCCAGUGAGUGGAGAACACAAACUUGUGGAACCAGUCGUGGCAGAAAUUUUUUAUCAAAAUGAGCAGAAUACAAGGCUGCUUUGAUUAAGUACUUCCAAUAACCUCCAAACAAGAUAAAAAUAGAUUCUCUGGAAGCAACUGGGUACUUGGUAAGUCUUUUAGUCUUGAAAACCAGUUUCUAGUAUUCAUCUAAGCUAAUUUUUAAAUUUGUGUUGCUAAACCCCUCUGAUCUACACAAAUACUGGUGUUGAGUACCACUGCUAUCUUAGACACUGGUACUGCAGGAAUGUUUCCUCUCCACAAAAGCAAGGCUGUUCCAGUGCUGCUUCUAGGCAAGUCGGACUUCUAACUUGCACAGAGAGGCCUCACCUGUGCUGCAGUUUGAAUCCAUAGGCUGAAGCUCUAGUCCAGUCAGCACUUACACAGAUGCGUAUGUAACAAUUUCCAUACUUAGAGAGCUCUCCUGAUGUUAAUAGUUACAGACAUGGUUCACUUAAAUGAGUAAGUGCUUCCAGGACUGGAUAAGUCUCUUUGCCUCCCUAACAGCUAGCCUUUCUGAAUGUAUCUUUAUUUUUGUACCAUUCAAAUAGUUUGGGUUCUGUAAUAUGAAAAGUGUAAAUUGUUUUAACUGGCUUACAGG